UACGGAGGGAGCUAGCGUUGUUCGGAAUUACUGGGCGUAAAGCGCGCGUAGGCGGCUUUGUAAGUUAGAGGUGAAAGCCCGGGGCUCAACUCCGGAACUGCCUUUAAGACUGCAUCGCUAGAAUCCAGGAGAGGUGAGUGGAAUUCCGAGUGUAGAGGUGAAAUUCGUAGAUAUUCGGAAGAACACCAGUGGCGAAGGCGGCUCACUGGACUGGUAUUGACGCUGAGGUGCGAAAGCGUGGGGAGCAAACAGG
rnacentral:rRNA from 1 species